ensembl:lncRNA
UGGUUUUCUGGUUAAAUGGGGGAUUUGCGAAAACGCAUGAUUUUCGCUUAAAUGAGGGAUUUGAGAAAACUCAUGAUUUUCGCUUAAAUGUUGGAUUCUCGAAGAGAAAACGCGUGAUUUUCGCUUAAAUGGGGUAUUUGCGAAGAGAAAACGCGUGAUUUUCAGGUUAAAUGGAGGAUUUCCGAAGAGAAAACGCAUGAUUUUCUGGUUAAAUGGGGGAUUUCCGAAGAGAAAACGCGUGAUUUUCGCUUAAAUGGGGGAUUUGAGAAAACGUGUGAUUUUCGCUUAAAUGUUGGAUUCUCGAAGAGAAAACGCGUGAUUUUCAAGUUAAAUGGAGGAUUUCCGAAGAGAAAACGCAUGAUUUUCUGGUUAAAUGGAGGAUUUCCGAAGAGAAAACGCAUGAUUUUCUGGUUAAAUGGGGGAUUUCCGAAGAG